rnacentral:lncRNA from 1 species
CAACACUUUUAAUGUCAUAAUUCUUCAAUUACAAUUUGUUGUAUGAAGAAAUAAGAGUUGCUUUGAACAACUCUUAGUUAAAUGCAAACAUUAGUGCUUGUUUCUUUGUUACAUGAACAAGGAACUUUAAAAGUAAGCACAAGGGCAUGGACACUUUAUGUGCCGUGAUUCUUCACUUAUAAAUUGUUGUAUGAAGAAAUGAGAGUUGCCUUGAACAACUCUUGAAAGUUUGUAAUUAUGUUUAGAACAUAAUGGUUGUUUGACAAAAAUAGUCCAUCAACAUGGACUUAUGAUGAUUUUGAAUCAUUGAGUGUUGAAGUGAUAAACCACUUAACGAGACGGAAACUAGGCUAGGACUUCACCUUUAUGUCCCUAUCCUAAUGGUUCACUAAGUUUAUUGUAAACUAUGUAGUGAACAAUAAACACAUGCUCUCCAAAAUGUUUGAUGUGUAUAACACAAUUGAAAUAAGUUUCAAGAGAGAUAGUGGGAGUUUAGGGACCAUGACUAUUGUAGUCAAAGGAGAAGUCAAAUGAAGAAGAUAUAAUUAACUCCAAGGGAACAAACUUUCUUUAUGAAAGGAUGGACAUUGGAAGGGGUAUUUGCAAGAAAAGUCUUGCAAGUGUCAAGAACACACCUUUCGAAGGUGUUAUAAAUUGUUCUUGAAUAGUUCAAAACAGUUGGUUCUUCUACUUGAAUGCUUAAUUCCGUAUUAGCAACUAUGUUUUACAAUCGUUGUAAAAGUGUGACUAAUAAGAAGUAGAAGAUAUAUGAGAGAAGAAAAGUUGCUUCACAUUCGGAACGUGAAUAAAAUAUAGAUCUUUGCGAAAGCAGAUAGUACUUACUUCCUCAUAUGAACUACCAAAGAAAUUGGAAAAACCAAAGAUUGUCUUUACAUUCCAAUUUUAAGGAACUUAAUUCCGUCACUAUAGUAGAGAUGGAUGAAUGUUUUGUUUGACAAAACAUUGUUCUUUAUUAAUCAAUGAUUGGAUUAUAGUAAUCUAAUUGAUUGUCUCUAUAGUAGAGAUGAUAUGGUAUUGUUAACUGUUUAGAAUAUAAUGAUGCUUAAAACCCAAAAGGUUGCAAGAUAGUGACUAAUCCCAACCGAGUUGUGAUACCUCUAAAACAUAAAUUACGAGUUGGUCAUAGAUGGAUGCUUUGGAUCGUUAGAUCCGGAUCCAAUACCUUCUUGUUAAAUUGUAUAGAGGCGAAAUGUUCGAAUCUUUAUUCUUUUGGAAAGAAGAAAGAAUCACAAAGUUGUUGAUGUUAAUUCACUUAGAUGUUAGUGGCACUUGUCUACAACAUAAUACUACUCAUGUUGUUUGACAUUCACCGAAGAUCGCUCUCGGUUGGACUAUAGUUUAUUUUGAAUAAACACAAGUCCGAAUACUUUGCAAAAGGUUUCAAAGAAUUCAAGAAAUGUGAGUUGAUGAGUAAGACGUCUAAAGUAUUUGCCUCCUUAGAUUUGAUCCAAGGAAAGAUAACACUUUAGAACAGAUUCCUUGAAAAAUAUCAAGGAAAGAAGCAUCAAAAGAUAAUGGAUUUCUCCAUUAGGAGAAGAACGAACUUGAAUAAGAUUUAGUUCGUUGGAUGUUAUCAAUUACCCAUAUAUAUAGGAUAUAUACUUCUAAGACAAUAUGAUUGUCAAUUAGAAGAUCUUCCAAAAUUUUCAUGACUCCAUAGGAUGUAGUUGGAAAGAAAGAUAAGUCUUAAUUGUAUUAAGAUUUGGGGUUGGGUGCUAAUAAGCAAUAUUUGUUUGAAAAUUAUCUUGUGGGUAUCCUUAAAUUAACAUUUGGAUAUCACUUCUAUAAACCAACUAACAAAUGUUGUUUGUUGGAUAGUUCAUUAUAAUCCUACCAUAGGAUUUGCCUAAGAUGGAGCAAAUGAACGAGAGAUAGAACUCAAAGAAUGGGUUCUUUGAGAGACAAGAUGAUAACCAACAAAUAUAACAACCUAGUUCCUAUACCACAAGCUCCAAGGUAGUUGAGAAGGAUUUAUAAACCGUCUCAGUUGAAUGGUUUGAACUUUAUGACUAUGUCAUAGAGUUGCACCUCUUAAUUCGAAAGAAAUAAGAAUGAAAAUCCUUAUGACUACAUUGAGUGUAUAUACGAUAUAUACUCAAGGAAAUGGUAAAGUACCAUUUGAUACGAAAUAAUGAAACCUUUAUAGCUAAUUGGUAGCUUAAGGUGACUACAAUCAAAGAGAAUGGUUGACUUUGAAGAAACCAUCUUUGACGUAGUCUUAGUUUCAAUUAAUUCGAAGAUUGCUAGCUACAACUAAAUGGUGAUUCAAUGUUUGGACAUAAUAUGGGUUUCCAAAACCAUUAUUAAGAUAGUCUUG